GGAGAGGUAAGGGGAGGAAAUCAAAGGAAGUUGGGUAGGUGAUAGUUGGUGCUGAAAUGGGGUAUUUGCUUUUGGAAUUUCGGCUAGUGUGUUGUAAGGAUGCCAUUUUUCUUUUAGUCAUUUCAGCUUUUGGCUCAUUUUGUCUGGUUUUGAAAUAGUGAUGUGGGUAGUGGCUGAUUUUACUCUAGUCAUUCCUUUCAUUUUAGUUCUUUUUGCCUUUCGUCAAAAUCGAGC
rnacentral:lncRNA from 1 species